rnacentral:misc_RNA from 1 species
ACACCUCAACUCUUGUGGUUUCCCCCACAAUGAGCUUGGACUGUGGAGGAUUUGUUGGCCCUGUGGUCAGCUCCUCUCAAAUGGAUCAGCUUACCAGUGUUUGGUGGCGUCAUGGGUGUGAUAACUAUCUGCGCUCGUGGUUGCCUCCAAGUAACUUCCGGUGACGGGGUUCACUGGAGCUCAUAAACGUCUCUCCCCAGUGAAGACAGCAUUUGAAC